UCAUGCUGCACAUCUGGUGCCCACACUGUCCUAACAUGAAGAAGGCAGGAAAUAUGGCGCAAGUUCAGUUGCAGAGUUUGGGAUCCCAGGGAGAUGGAACAGCCCAAGCCCGAAAGCAAUGCAGAAUGGAAUUAGACUCACCUUGUUACAGCUUGUGCUGCCACCAAUUAAAGAGAGAGAAAAGAAGCUCUGCUGAAACCUCCUGCCUUCCAGCUGCACUUACUUAAUCCAGGUUCCAUGUACACAGCUCCAGCCUGCCCAGAAGAAGCUGAGUCAGGUCAUCUGAGGCCACAGCUGUACUCCAGCUGGGAAGAGCUGGGAAAAGGUGCUGUCCAUGGCAGAGGUGGGCUGCAUCUCCUCUUCCACUUGGGCAAAAGCACCUGCCCUGUCGGCACAUUUUGAUCCCAUUUCCUCUACCUUGUAUUGCUUGGACUGUGGGAACAUGUCAUUGUAUUAAGAUCGGGACUUUGGGGAUCAAGAAGUGGAUUUUGCAUUUUCAACUUCUGUAUUUAUUUGUUUAUUAAACCAGUAAGAGAAUGCA